rnacentral:rRNA from 2 species
AUAAAUUGAGAGUUUGAUCCUGGCUCAGGACGAACGCUGGCGGCGUGCCUAAUACAUGCAAGUCGAACGAGAAUUUCUUACACCGAGUGCUUGCACUCACCGUAAGAAAUUCGAGUGGCGGACGGGUGAGUAACACGUGGGUAACCUGCCCAAAAGAAGGGGAUAACAUUUGGAAACAAAUGCUAAUACCGUAUAACCAUGAUGACCGCAUGGUCAUUAUGUGAAAGGUGGUUUUGCUAUCGCUUUUGGAUGGACCCGCGGCGUAUUAACUAGUUGGUAGGGUAACGGCCUACCAAGGUAAUGAUACGUAGCCGAGUUGGGGGACUGAUCGGCCAACACUGGGACUGAGACACGGCCCAUACUCCUACGGG